rnacentral:lncRNA from 1 species
ACUCAAAGCCCAUUCAGGGGUUGCUAAGCAUGAAAGCCUUUGUUGUGUCAGAGCUACCCUCAGACAGUUCUCUCUGACUGCCAAAUUUCUCUCUUGUAGAUGGGGAGUAGAGGGAAGCCAUUUUUGUUCAUCCCGUUAUAGAUGAAAGUUCUUUUCUAGGAGAACUUCAGGCUCAGCAGAGAAUGAGGAGUGAUAGGGUAAGGAGGAAUAAGGAUGCUGAGCUGACUUGGAUACACAGAAUACUGAUUAUAUAAGCAGAUGUAUCUGAAACAGGGAAAGCAAAAGCUUGCCACAUCUCCAUGGCAAUCAGCAUGGAAACCCAAUGGCACGCUUUGUCUUUUUGGUGGAAUUUUCAUUCCAUAACAGAAGUCUAUACUAGUAUACCCAUCUUCACCCUGAUACCAGCCAUGUGGACGAGGGACAUCACCAUGAAGAAUUACACCUGGUUAAGGAAGACUGUGCCCUCCCUCUCUCUAGGGCACUGCAUCUUCCAAUCCAGAGGAGGACUACAAGGCUCAGCAGGAGGAAAUGCAAAGAUGGCCAACAAAGGAAAUUCGGCAAGUUGACACAACACUACAGCAACUCUAAAGCUGCCAACCUCACUCUUCCCCAAAAACAGAACAACGCAUUCCACGGUGGUUUGGGCAAAUCUGUCCUGUUGCUCUUAUGGGACAGGUAGGCUGCAGGCAACUCAGUGAGAAAAUCAAGUUAUUUGGUUUCCUUGCCCAGUGAAACAAUAUCCUUACUUUCCUGAAUGAGCACAAAUGGUCAGGACAUAGGGAUUAGUGGCCUCACUGUCCACAGGAAUGGGGAGCGCCCAGACUUUCUCUCUUCCCCUGCAACUGUAAUUUUCCUGAAAAAGUCAGAGCAAGUUCUGUAUUAAAAUAAGCAGUCUGAACCUGGAGGGUCCCCUGAGGAUGACAGAUUAGAUACUUAGAGUACUUACUUCCCCAAGCAAUAACUCCUGGGGGCUGCAGACCCCUUGUUUACCC